rnacentral:misc_RNA from 1 species
GAUGAAGAACGUAGCGAAAUGCGAUAAGUAAUGUGAAUUGCAGAAUUCAGUGAAUCAUCGAAUCUUUGAACGCACAUUGCGCCCCCUGGUAUUCCGGGGGGCAUGCCUGUCCGAGCGUCAUUACAACCCUCAAGCUCAGCUUGGUGUUGGGCCCCGCCGCCCCGGCGGGCCCUAAAGUCAGUGGCGGUGCCGUCCGGCUCCGAGCGUAGUAAUUCUUCUCGCUCUGGAGGUCCGGUCGUGUGCUCGCCAGCAACCCCCAAUUUUUUUCAGGUUGACCUCGGAUCAGGUAGGGAUACCCGCUGAACUUAAGCAUAUCAAUAAGCGGAUGA